CCUACGGGUGGCUGCAGUGGGGAAUUUUGGACAAUGGGCGAAAGCCUGAUCCAGCAAUGCCGCGUGCAGGACGAAGGCCUUCGGGUUGUAAACUGCUUUUGUACGGAACGAAAAGACACUGGCUAAUACCUGGUGUUGAUGACGGUACCGUAAGAAUAAGCACCGGCUAACUACGUGCCAGCAGCCGCGGUAAUACGUAGGGUGCGAGCGUUAAUCGGAAUUACUGGGCGUAAAGCGUGCGCAGGCGGUUUUGUAAGACAGAGGUGAAAUCCCCG
rnacentral:rRNA from 1 species